rnacentral:rRNA from 1 species
UGAGGAAUAUUGGGCAAUGCCCGCAAGUCUGAACCAGCCACGCCGCGUGGAGGAUUAAGGCCCUCUGGGUUGUAAACUCCUUUUAUCUGGGAAGAAAUGUACUUUUUCUUGAGUACUUGACGGUACCAGAGGAAUAAGCACCGGCUAACUCCGUGCCAGCAGCCGCGGUAAUACGGAGGGUGCAAGCGUUAUCCGGAUUCACUGGGUUUAAAGGGUGCGUAGGUGGGCAGGUAAGUCAGUGGUGAAAUCUCCGGGCUUAACCCGGAAACUGCCGUUGAUACUAUUUGUCUUGAAUAUUGUGGAGGUAAGCGGAAUAUGUCAUGUAGCGGUGAAAUGCUUAGAUAUGACAUAGAACACCAAUUGCGAAGGCAGCUUACUACACAAUCAUUGACGCUGAGGCACGAAAGCGUGGGGAUCAAACA